UACGGCCAUAUAACAUUGUAAAACCAGUUCCUGUAUAAUCACCAAAGUUAAGCACUGUCGUGCAUGGUCAGUAUUUAAAUGGGUGACCACUUGGGAAUACCAGGUGCUGUU